AGGUUGGAUGAGUUUAUGGAGGGCUUUAAUACCAUAUCGUUGAAGUUCAAAUAAAUGUAUCAGUCACUAACAUUGAUGAUCAUAUUGGACUUUGGAUCGGAGCUGAGGCCCUAUGAAGCAGCAAGAAAAAUGUAAAAGAUAAUGAGAAAACCAUUAAACAAGGACAAAAAAAUGAACAAUGAUAGGAAGCAAGAUCAGGAAAACAAGGAUGACGACAAUGAAAAUCAAACAAAACAAGCUAAAAAGGCUUGAUCAUCUGGAUCAAUUUCAUAUCUGGUAUGAAUAUUGAUACCCCAAAUUACACUUAUCAAAAAGAAGUAUAAAGCGGUUGUUGUUCAAAUAUAGAACCUAACGAAAGUUAGAGUACAUCCCACAAAGAAUAUGAUUUAAACUUUGUUAAAUUGCUAUUUGAUGACAUGACAAUAUUCUGAGUAAAUUUUGAUAAUGACAAAGUGAACCAGGUUCAUAAGCUUGUGCCAGUCCUCAAACAAAGAGCUGGAAAGAAGAAAGUCUUAUUUAAGGAAAAAGACAACUAGUUUUUUUUUUUUGGUAGGAUUCAACUAGGGUUUAAUCUGUGCAAAGAACCACAACUUUUGCGAAUCCAGAAAUUGAGAGAACAUUUGCAGCAAGAGCAAGUAUGGUGCUGAAAGAGCAAGACGAUAGAAGAAAGAAGAGCUAGAGUUAAGUUUUCUUUCAAAGCUUAGUUUGUGUUGUUUCAACUUAGAACCCAUUGUUUAGGGACAAUUUUCCUAAGUGACAAAGUGUGUUCGCAAGGUUUUUGUUACAAGAAGUGGGUUUGGCUUUUUGGAGAGUAUACGAUUAUAGCUAAUCAUUGAACAGUUUGAGUGAACUAUUGAGGUGAGCUGUUAGUCCAUUUGAUUAUAGAGUUCUAAUCUAAAAUUGUUCUUUGAAAUUCGUAAAGUUUUGGUGAAAAUUCUAUGAGGUGUAGGUCAUGAUUUUUCUUCUCUUGAGCAAGGAGGUUUUCCACUAUAAGAUCUUUGUUUAGUUUGUUGCA